CCCGCCGGACCUGACUGCUAUCGGAUUGAUACUAAGCCAUGCGAGUCAUUGUAGCAAUACAAGGCAGACGGCUCAGUAACGCGUAGUCAACCUAACCUAUGGACGGGAAUAACCUCGGGAAACUGAGAAUAAUGCCCGAUAGAACACUAUGCCUGGAAUGGUUUGUGUUCCAAAUGAUUUAUCGCCGUAGGAUGGGACUGCGGCCUAUCAGUUUGUUGGUGAGGUAAUGGCCCACCAAGACUAUUACAGGUACGGGCUCUGAGAGGAGUAGCCCGGAGAUGGGUACUGAGACACGGACCCAGGCCCUAUGGGGCGCAGCAGGCGAGAAAACUUUGCAAUGUGCGAAAGCACGACAAGGUUAAUCCGAGUGGUUUCUGCUAAAGGAACCUUUUGUCGGUCCUAGAAACACCGAUGAAUAAGGGGUGGGCAAGUUCUGGUGUCAGCCGCCGCGGUAAAACCAGCACCUCAAGUGGUCAGGAUGAUUAUUGGGCCUAAAGCAUCCGUAGCCUGCUUUGUUAGUUUUCGGUUAAAUCUAUACGCUCAACGUAUAGGCUGCCGGGAAUACUGCAAAGCUAGGGAGUGGGAGAGGUAGACGGUACUCGGUAGGAAGGGGUAAAAUCCUUUGAUCUAUUGAUGACCACCUGUGGCGAAGGCGGUCUACCAGAACACGUCCGACGGUGAGGGAUGAAAGCUGGGGGAGCAAACCGGAUUAGAUACCCGGGUAGUCCCAGCCGUAAACCAUGCAAACUCAGUGAUGCAUUGGCUUGUGGCCAAUGCAGUGCUGCAGGGAAGCCGUUAAGUUUGCCGCCUGGGAAGUACGUACGCAAGUAUGAAACUUAAAGGAAUUGGCGGGGGAGCACCACAA
rnacentral:rRNA from 1 species